GGGGGUGUAGCUCAGUGGUUGAGCAUUUGCUAGCAUGAGCAAGGCCCUGGGUUGGAUUCCUAGCACCUUCC
rnacentral:tRNA from 1 species